rnacentral:lncRNA from 1 species
AUUAGGUUUUGGGGCUAGGGUAAGGUUUAAGGUUUUUGACAUUAGGGUUAAAAUCACUGUCCAAAACCUUUGUAGGAACUCUUUUCCAACCUUUCUGAGUUGGUUACACCAACAAAAAUGUAAAAUGAAAAAAAAAUAUUUGGGGUGUUCGGGCUUCCUGAAGGUAAUACCCGGGAAUUAGGUUAUGGGGCUAUGGUAAGUUUUAAGGUUUUUGGCGUUAGGGUUAAAAUCACUGUCCAAAACCUUUGUAGGAACUCUUUUCCAACCUUUUGGAGUUGGUUUCACCAACAAAAAUGUAAAAUGAAGAAAAAAAUAUUUGGGGUGUUCGGGCUUCCUGAAGGUAAUACCCGGGUAUUAGAUUUUAAGGCUAGGGUAAGGUUUAAGGUUUUUGGCGUUAGGGUUAAAAUCACUGUCCAAAACCUUUGUAGGAACUCUUUUCCAACCUUUUGGAGUUAGUUAGACCAAAAAAAAUGAAAAAGAAAAAAAAAUUAUUGGGGGUUUUCGGGCUCCCUGAAAGUAAUACCCGGGUAUUAGGUUUUGGGACUAGGGAAAGGUUUAAGGUUUUUGGCAUUAGGGUUAAAAUCACUGUCCAAAACCUUUGUAGGAACUCUUUUCCAACCUUUUGGAGUUAGUUAGACCAAAAAAAAUGAAAAAUGAAAAAAAAUAUAUUUGGGGUUUCCGGGCUUCCUUAAUGUAGUAGUAUUAGAUUUUAAGGCCAGGGUAAGGGUUAAGUUUUUUGGCAUUAAGGUUAAAAUCACUGUCCAAAACCUUUGUAGG